UAUAGCUCAGCUGGUUAGAGCGCACGCCUGAUAAGCGUGAGGUCGAUGGUUCGAGUCCAUUUA
rnacentral:tRNA from 1 species